UACGAAGGGGCGAGCGUUGUUCGGAAUUAUUGGGCGUAAAGGGCUCGUAGGCGGUUUGUCGCGAUCGGGAGUGAAAACAUCUGGCUUAACUGGUGCUUGCUUCGAUACGGGCAGACUGGAGGUAUGCAGGGGAGAACGGAAUUCCGUGGUGUAGCGGUGAAAUGCGACAGAUAUCAGGAGGAACACCGGUGGCGAAGGCGGUUCUCUGGGCAUUACCUGACGCUGAGGAGCGAAAGUGUGGGGAGCG
rnacentral:rRNA from 1 species